UACACCCUACAUGAUUUCCUUGUAAUGUUCUUUUUCCAUCCCAUGACUCCACCCAAAUUCUCCACUCACUGUCUCCCACUGUAUGGUUUUAUGGGGCUGCUCAUCCAAGGACCGUACUGGUACAGUAUUCUCAAUUCCAAUCACUUGAGGUCAGGAGUUCAAGACCAGCCUGGCCAACAUGGUGAAACCCCAUCUCUACUGAAAAUACAAAAAUUGGCCAGACGUGGUGGCAGACGCCUAUAAUCCCAGCUACUUGGGAGGCUUAGGCAGGAGAAUCACUUGAACCCAGGAAGUGGAGGUUGCAGUGAGCCGAAAUCACACGCCAUUGUACUCCAGCCUGGGCAACAGAGCAAAAACUCUGUCUCAAAAAAAAAAAAAAAAAAAGAAAAAAGAAAAAGAAAAUGAAGGCUAGUGGCAAAUUAAUUUUUAUUGUAUCAUAACAAAACCUCACUAGAUUUUAGCAGCAAGUCAGCAUAACAAAUCAAGUUGUAGUCUACACUAAUUCUGAUUUUAAAACAAAACAGAUGCAUAUCACUCUCUAAUCACGGUAUAUCAUAUGUGGCACCCACUGUUAGAGACAAAAUUUAUAAACCAAGAAACUCUCCUUUCUUCAACUUGGGUUUUCUUACACUUCCUUUAAGUCAGGAUAAAGUAGGGUCUUUUUGCAAAGCUAAUAUCCUUUUAAUUCUUGUAUUUCAGAAUUAUGACACCUCUACUUAAUUUGUCAAAUAAAGAUUUAGGAGUUUAUGCAACUGAAAUAUUGAAGGCAAAUGGUUUCAAUAACAACCAAAAAACUAAUACAGAGUUAAGAGCUCACCCAUGAAGACACCAAAUAAGAGAAGUGGAUCUAGAAAAGAAUAUUGGCUGGGUGCAGUGGCUCACGCCUAUAAUCCCAGCACUUUGGGAGGCCAGGGCGGGUGGAUCUCCUGAGGUCAGGAGUUCAAGACCAGCCUAGGCAACAUGGUGAAACCCCAUCUCUACCAUUCACAACUCACAAUGAUGCUUGUUAGAGCAGAAAUCGUUAGUCUGACCUCUAUUUUCAGGUCUUUGACUUGUCUUAUCAAAACUCCCAAUAAACAGUUUUUUGUUUUUUUUUUUUGAAACAGAGUCUCGCUGCACCUCCGCUCCUGAGUCAAGCGAUCUCCCGCUGACCUCUGAGCAGCGCUGGGAUACAGGCGUGUGUACACACGGCUAUUUGUGUUUAGCGAAUGGUUCACAUGUGGCAGCUGUCCACUCUGACUCAGGACGCCCNNNNNNNNNNNNNNNNNNNNNNNNNNNNNNNNNNNNNNNNNNNNNNNNNNNNNNNNNNNNNNNNNCCGAGCCCACGCAGGCGCUGGACUGCUGGCGGCGGCGACGUGGCAGUGGCUCGUGGCCGCGUCCGCCUGGAGUUCCUGGAUACGCCCGCCCCGGGGCGAGCCGCGGGAGGGACCGAGCCGAGAUCUCCCCUCCAGAGGUUUGAUUCAUUUUUUUUUUUUUUUUCUGGUGAGACAGGGUCUUGUUCUGUCUCCUUGACCAGAGUGCAAUGGUAUGAUCACAGCCCACUGCAGCCUCAUCCUCCUGGGCUCAAGCAAUCUUCCCGCCUCAGGAACAGCUGAGACUACAGGUGCACACCACCACACCCAGCUAAUUUUUUAAUUUUUUGUAGAGACAAGGUCUCACUAUGUUGCCAGGGUGGUCUCUAACUUCUGAGCUCAAGCAAUCCUCCUACCUCAGCCUCCCAAAGUGCUGGAAUUAUAGGUGUGAGCACCGUGCCCACCGUCUCAUGCUUCUUUCCUAUAUCUUCUAUUCUCUUCUCAAGUUCAGUUAUUAUAAUUUUAGUUCCAGGGUUACUUUUUUUUUUUUUGAGAUAGAGUCUCGCUCUGUCGCCCAGGCUGGAGUGCAGUGGCGCAAUCUUGGCUCCCUGCAAGCUCUGCCUCCCAGGUUCACACCAUUCUCCUGCCUCAGCCUCCCGAGUAGCUGGGACUACAGGCCCCCGCCACCAUGCCCGGCUAAUUUUUUGUAUUUUUAAUAGAGACGGGGUUUCACUGUGUUAGCCAGGAUGGUCUCAAUCUCCUGACCUUGUGAUCCACCCACCUCGGCCUCCCAAAGUGCUGGGAUUACAGGCGUGAGGCACCGCACCCGGCCUCCAAUAAUCCACCNNNNNNNNNNCCCCAUUAGCAUAUACAAAUAUGCCUCAAUAUUUAAAACUGGUACACAGUAACUUUUAUAUAGAUUUGUCUUUGCCAGUUUCUUCAUUAUUUCAGUUGUUUAUACAGUUUGCUGCUAUUUCUAACAAUCCCGCAACAUACUUGCUUAUAUAAAUAUAUAUCAAAAGGCUGGGCUCAGUGGCUCACACCUGUAAUCCCAGCACUUUGGUAUAGAUGGGGUUUCGCCGGUUUGGUCAGGGGGGUCGCUAAAUACUGACCUCACGUGAUCCACACCCCUUGGCUUCCCAAAGUGCUGGGAUUACAAGCAUCAACCACGGCGCCCAGCCUCCCCUUCUCAUUUCUGUCUGCUGACUCCUCUUCCCGUUCUGCUGCUCACAUCCCCAGGUUGAUGUUUUCACCCUCUGGGUUCAGCCUUAUCCCCUGCCACCCUCCUGUGCUGCCUGGGUCCCUCAAAAAGAUGGGUCUGGACUUCCCACACCCUCCUUCCCUGCCCCUCACUGUGUUGCCUGGUGUCUGCCUGAAGAAAUGCAGUUUGAGCCAUUGGCUGGUUUUCUAAUAAUAGAUUAAUUGAAAUUCUGUGUGAGAGAUUUGUUUUUCUUCCCCAUUUAUCCUGUUUAUUCAAUCAUUUUUUAUAUCAGUAUGGGCUCAUGGAUGUUUAUCCUAUGUGUUAUCAUCUAAUAAUACAGUGUUUAUUUUAUUGCUCAGUUUGUUCUAGCUUUGACCAUGGGAGUUCUUUCAGGUUGGCUCUUGUGUUCCUGUGAUUUUUUUUUUUUUUUUUUUUUUUUUUGGUAGCGAUGGGGUCUCACUGUGUUGCCCAGGCUGGUCUCGAAUGCCUAGCCUCAAAUGAUUCUCCUGUCUUGGCCUCCUCUAUGCUAGGAUUACAGAAGUGAGCCACCAUGCCUGGCCAAUAUAUAUAUUGGCUGGAAUGCAGUGGCACAAUCUUGGCUCACUG
rnacentral:lncRNA from 1 species